AGUGAACGCUGGCGGUAGGCUUAACACAUGCAAGUCGAACGGCAGCACAGGAGAGCUUGCUCUCUGGGUGGCGAUGGCGGACGGGUGAGGAAUGCAUCGGAAUCUACUCUUUCGUGGGGGAUAACGUAGGGAAACUUACGCUAAUACCGCAUACGACCUACGGGUGAAAGCCGGGGACCUUCGGGCCUGGCGCGAAAGAAUGAGCCGAUGCCCGAUUAGCUAGUUGGCGGGGUAAGAGCCCACCAAGGCGACGAUCGGUAGUGGUCUGAGAGGAUGAUCAGCCACACUGGAACUGAGACACGGUCCAGACUCCUACGGGAGGCAGCAGUGGGGAAUAUUGGACAAUGGGCGCAAGCCUGAUCCAGCCAUACCGCGUGGGUGAAGAAGGCCUUCGGGUUGUAAAGCCCUUUUGUUGGGAAAGAAAAGCAGUCGGUUAAUACCCGAUUGUUCUGACGGUACCCAAAGAAUAGCACCGGCAA
rnacentral:rRNA from 1 species